AGUUGGUAUCAGACAGUAAAUUAGCAUGCUUCCAUACAUGAGACCAUCUGGGACAUAUUCAGAUUUUUCCAGCCCAUGGCUGGUUCUCACCAAAGCAAGUUCUGCUCUGCUGUCAAGUGAUGAGGUGCAGAGCAGAGAAACGGGAGAACAAGAAAGAAAGAAAGAGGUGGUAACUCACUUCUCUGCCUAGUUUGGAAAACAAUAUCUGACUUUAAAAUGAAUGAUAUAAAAUGUUCAUCUUCCCUUCAGAAAAUACAAGUGUUGCUAAGUGCUGCUGUAGUGCUAUAUUGAUGAUAAUGAAAUUCAUGCAAUUUUUUUUUCACUGCUAUAGCUUUUCAUCUCCUGAUACUACACCCUACACAGCCCUAACAGUGGCAUAGGCUGUAUCUGUUUAAAUAUAAGAUGCAGACUCACUUAGAGAAAUAAAUGUUAUGCUGUUUUCUUUUUCUGGAGGGAUUGUCAUGGUUUUGUAACUUUGCUAUUGGUAUUCCACAUCAUAACAUCAUGGACAAAAGAGAAGAAGAACUACGUAUCCCAGAGGAACUCAUGGUCAGAGAAGGAAGAUACAUCACAGAAGAUACGUCAUCUGGCUGCGCGCGGUCUUUUUCACUUUCACUUGCUGCCAGAGAGAGGAGUGGGUGUGCUUCCAAGCCGUGCGCCUUCAUCAGAUGUAUUGAGUGGAAACAAAAACUCAUGCUCAGAUCAACAGCAACUGAAGUCAACCUUGGCUUUGUCCAUCCAAGUCAUGAAAAUCUUCAGGGAUGGAGAUACCUCAACCCCCCUGGCUACCAAGCUGUUUGAUUACCUCCACCCUUGUGAGUGUCCUUCCAAGAACUGCUAGACACUGCUAAGUUUGCCCUUGCUGCCCAUUCCUUUAUUGGAGAUCGAACCUUCCGCUGGACCCUUCUCAGACUCCUGAAUUUGGCACCGUUACUUCACGUCUGACCUUAGCACAAUGCUGAGUAGAAAGGAGACGUUAUUUCUGCUGAUUUCCUGGUGAUGAAUCUCCUCAGCUUGCUUCCUUAGUUAUUCCUUGUGAUAAGACUCUUAACUGAUUUGUGGAGGUGGCAAAUGAUGGGUGCUACCAUGUGACAAUCAACAUCACUUUGACAUUUGAAAGCACCUUCCUCCAGAGCUGCUUGCCUCCGGAAGAGCGUGCUCAGGAGUGGUUACUGGAGGAAGAUCUGGCCUAAUACCCCAGCUUGGUGUGGGAAAACUGGGGAACAACACCAUCGUGCCCUGUGAAAAACAGGAUGCAGAUGGGCAUCCCUCCUUUCUCUUAUCUGCUGGCAAGGCCCGGAAGAUGAUAACAAAGGAAUUUCUGCUGAGAUCCCAGAGCCAGUAGCUGCCACUCCAAGGAGAGCUGACUCAACCACUUCGGAUUUGAGCUGUCACUCAAAAGAGAGCUGACUGGACCACUUUGGACUUAUAAAUAAGUUUGUACUGCCAUCGUCGUUGUCGUCAUCGCUGUGGUUACCAUCGUCAACAGAACACCCGACGACCCACCACUACUGAAGAUCAAUGACUGAACUAUGAACCACGUUGGACCAAGGUGUUGACUACCUCCCUCCUGCUUCCUAUACGGACUCCUUGCUUCUAUUUCCUAUCUUUUCUGUCAGCCUUCUCCCCGUCCCCAUCUCCCUGAACGACUAGGAUAAUAGUAAUAAACCGGUAGGAUCAGCAUUUGAACCGUUGUUUCUUAAUCUCAUGCCGGGUAUACACACAUCAAAGAACCUCCUCUCCCUCCGAUAAAUUGGAGAGAGACAGAGUUUCAGCCUAUGUGAACUGAAAGGUCCUGAUCUUGUUUUUAAGAAUAUUACAACAGACUGCAGAGGGCAUAUAAUGUGUGCAUUUUGCGAUAUAGUAAGUAUUAGCAAUAAUUGGCAACUCACAGGAUCACAGAAUCACAGAAUGGCCUGGGUUGGAAGGGACCUCAAGGAUCAUGAAUCUCCAACCCCCCUGCCUGGCAGGGCCACCAAGCUCCCCAUUUACUAGACCAGGUUGCCUAGGGCCCCAUCCAACCUGGCCUUGAACACCUCCAGGGACGGGGCAUCCACAACCUCUCUGGGCAGCCCGUUCCAGCACCUCACCACUCUUCUGGUAAAGAACUUCCCCCUAACAUCCAACCUAAAUCUUCCCUCUUUCAACUUAAAACUGUUCCCCCUUGUCCUGCUGUUAUCUACCCUUUCAAAGAGUUUACUCCCUUCUUGUUUAUAGGCUACUUUCAGGUACUGAAAGGCUGCAAUGACGUCACCCCGCUGCCUUCUCUUCUCCAGGCUGAAUAAGCCCAGCUUCCUAAGCCUGUCUUCGUAGGGGAGGUGCUCCAGCCCCCUGAUCAUCUUCAUGGCACUUCUCUGGACCCUCUCCAACAGCUCCCUGUCUUUCUUGUACUGGGGACUCCAUACCUGGACACAGUACUCCAGAUGGGGCCUCACAAGAGGAGAGUAGAGAUGGACAAUCACCUCCCUGUCCCUGCUGGCCCCCCCUCUCAUGAUGGAGCCCAGGAUACCAUUUGCUUUCCGAGCUGCAAGAGCACACUGCUGGCUUAUGUUAAGUUUGUCAUCCAUCAGGACCCCCAGGUCCUUCUCUGCAGAGCUGCUCUCAAGGACUGCUCCUUCCAGUCUGUAUAGACUCUCUAUUCUAGAUAGGUUCUCAAUACUAGAAAAUAAGCUUUCAAAAAUGCACCUAUGCUUUUAUUUGUAAUGUUAGUUUCCUAAAUAAAUAUUUUUUUAAAAAAUAAUUAAAAUGCAUUCAUAUGCCCCAAAACAUACAUUUCAAGUAGUGUAAUGCAUCACACUUCCUCUUAGACAAAAUCAAAACAAUACUAGAUAUUUUUUUUUUAACUUUGAUGACCCUGAUCAUAAUGGUUCAGCAACACGUCAGAAAACCUUUAUUUUUCUUUAAUUGGUCAUUUAAAUUUAAAAAAUAUAUCUAGACAUAUCAGAUAAAUAUUUCAGAAAAAAGCA
ensembl:lncRNA